rnacentral:SRP_RNA from 1 species
GCCGGGCACAAUGGUGCGUGCCUGUAGUCCCAGCUACUCAGGAGGCUGAGGCUGAGGCUGAGGCUGGAGGAUCGCUUGAGUCCAGGAGUUCUGAGCUGUCAUGUGCUAUGCUGAUAGGGUGUCCGCACUAAGUUUGGCAUCAGUAUGGUGACCUCCUGGGAGCAGGGGACCACCAGGUUGCCUAAGGAGGGGUGAACCAGCCCAGGUCGGAAAUGGAGCCGGUCAGAACUCCCGUGCUGAUCAGUAGUGGGAUAGUGCCUGUGAAUAGCCACUGCACUCCAGCCUGGGCAACAUAAGGAGACUCCAUCUCU